rnacentral:rRNA from 1 species
CGUAGGGUGCGAGCGUUAAUCGGAAUUACUGGGCGUAAAGCGUGCGCAGGCGGUUUUGUAAGACAGAUGUGAAAUCCCCGGGCUCAACCUGGGACCUGCAUUUGUGACUGCAAGACUAGAGUACGGUAGAGGGGGAUGGAAUUCCGCGUGUAGCAGUGAAAUGCGUAGAUAUGCGGAGGAACACCGAUGGCGAAGGCAAUCCCCUGGACCUGUACUGACGCUCAUGCACGAAGGCGUGGGGAGCAAACAGGAUUAGAUACCCUGGUAGUCCACGCCCUAAACGAUGUCAACUGGUUGUUGGGUCUUUACUGACUCAGUAACGAAGCUAACGCGUGAAGUUGACCGCCUGGGGAGUACGGCCGCAAGGUUG